ACUGCCAUAUCCCUAAUCCUACGAAAAGAAAAAACAUUCUCCUAAUGUCACCUACGCCGCCGCAAGAUCCUCCCCCGCUGACAUGAUAUUAGCACCGGCGCCACCGGCCGUCCUCUCGCUGCUCUUGCUAACGAGUUUCAGUCGUCGGUUUGGGAGGCCGUCAUGCUGUUGUGGAGGGCUCCAAGCGUACUGCCGCAGUAUUUAUACGACUACCCUCCCUGGUGCAUCCCGUACAGCCGUACUUGCCUCCAUGUGCAGGAAACUAAAGGUAGAAAUUCGCCAUGUCGUUCUGAGGAGGAUUCUCCCAUCCGCAAGAACGGACCAGCAAAAAUCUCAAUCAACCAUACUUAUAGUGAGAACCGGCACACACAAGCGAGAACACAAGCACAUGGAAAGCCAUGCCCCUGAUCUCCAUGUUAUGCCCAGUCAUGGCUCAGAUUGAAAGAGGAAAGAUUCAUUUGUUGUACUAGAUGCAGUCGUCAGUGUGGGAGGCCGUCAUGCUGUUGUGGAGGGCUUCAAGGUGAAUACAUAUCUUUGGAGGAUUCUCGAUCAAGAAGCGAGGUUGCUCGACUGAUUUCUUACGUAAGCAUAACCAUGCAAAAUUAGUGUAAGUUGUUUAAAUUUAAAAAUAGUACAGAUUUAAUUAUUGUUUCAUUAUUCUGAUGCUUAAGAAAGUUAGACUAUUACUACACAAAACUUUAUUUCUAAUGUGGCAUGUGUAAUCUUUUCCUUUUGUUUUGAAAUAGUUAUGUGCGGUAAUUCAUUCUGAAAGAUAAGAGCAGGCUUAUCUGCCAUUAUAGAGGGCAUCCAGCUUAAAAUAAAUUGUUUAAAUGUGAGAUUACAUUUUAAAUUCAUUAUGAAAGACAUGAACAAACCAGUAUCAAUGAGUCUACUACAGUGUUAUUCGAGUAAAUAGUUUUAUGGCACUAUCAAUGAUUCUACUGCAGUGCUAUUCCAGCACAUGAGUGAGAGGGUGAUGAUUUCUUACUUCUAUUACUGAACAUGUAAUGUGGCUUUGCUAAAUGUUUAUAUCGUUCGGUAUGUGCGAUGUGUGUGCAAGGCAUCGACUAAUGUAGUAGCAUCAUUGAAAACAGCUCCGAGACACAAGCUAGGCAUGGUAUAUUGAACUUGAAAAGUGAUCCAUGACAGAUGGCGUAGGGACUCUGCUCUUGGCCUCUUAGUUGACACAGAGAACGCAGGUGUAAUAAGGAAGUACAUGCCGAAACCAGUAUGCACAAGGCCUUCAACCUUGAUGUAUACAUGUGAAUACAUUGUUGUGACUUGGAAAAGUUAAUGCUUGCUUCCGAAUAUUUUGUCAUAUGGUGGUCUUCUUAAAACCACAAUCUCAUUAUUCCUUUUCAUUGGAGCUUAACUAACCAACGAAUUUCUGAUUUGCUGCUUUCAAUUCUCAGAUAUUUUUUUCA